rnacentral:rRNA from 1 species
UACGGGGGGGCAAGCGUUGUUCGGAAUUACUGGGCGUAAAGGCUCGUAGGCGGCCAACUAAGUCAGACGUGAAAUCCCUCGGCUUAACCGGGGAACUGCGUCUGAUACUGGAUGGUCUUGGAGGUUGGGAGGAGGAUGCGGAAUUCCAGGUGUAGCGGUGAAAUGCGUAGAUAUCUGGAGGAACACCGGUGGCGAAGGCGGCAUCCUGGACCGAAUUCUG